AGUGAACGCUGGCGGUAGGCCUAAUACAUGCAAGUCGAACGGCAGCACAGUAAGAGCUUGCUCUUACGGGUGGCGAGUGGCGGACGGGUGAGGAAUACAUCGGAAUCUACUUUUUCGUGGGGGAUAACGUAGGGAAACUUACGCUAAUACCGCAUACGACCUACGGGUGAAAGCAGGGGAUCUUCGGACCUUGCGCGAUUGAAUGAGCCGAUGUCGGAUUAGCUAGUUGGCGGGGUAAAGGCCCACCAAGGCGACGAUCCGUAGUUGGUCUGAGAGGAUGAUCAGCCACACUGGAACUGAGACACGGUCCAGACUACUACGGGAGGCAGCAGUGGGGAAUAUUGGACAAUGGGCGCAAGCCUGAUCCAGCCAUACCGCGUGGGUGAAGAAGGCCUUCGGGUUGUAAAGCCCUUUUGUUGGGAAAGAAAAGCAGCAGGUUAAUACCCCGCUGUUCUGACGGUACCCAAAGAAUAAGCACCGGCUAACUUCGUG
rnacentral:rRNA from 1 species